rnacentral:lncRNA from 1 species
GAGAGCGCGCUGCGCGGCGACUGGGCGCCGAGGGUCCUCCCGGAGCGGAGGGACACAGAGGGACUCUAGGGCACCUGCCAUCGCGAACAGUAUGGGAGCGGGAGGCGAGUGCCGCUUCAGGCGGAGAAUCCAGGCGGUGGCGGGACCUCUCUGAGGCGGAGUUGCCGCCACCGAGGCCUGGCUGCCGGGGAAGAAGAGCACCUACUAUGUGCCAGGCUGCGCUUUGCGCGCUUGGCAGAGGCAACAGUGUCACCAGGGGGUGCUGGUUUCUCCCCAAGGGGCUUUUGUCUGUCCCUUGUUGCAGAGCUAGCGCAUGAGACCAAGUGUGAGUGUCAGGCCGUUCAGCCUUCAGUGGCCAUGGAAUUGGAGAAGUGGAAGCGUAGCUCGCGAGUCAAGCUCUCAGCUCUUGAAAACUGAGAAGUUACAGAUGGAGUCUUGCCCUGUUGCCCAGGCUGGAUUGCGGUGGUGCAACCUCGGCUCACUGCAACCCCCACCUCCUGAGUUCAACAAUUCUCCUGCCUCAGCCUCCUGAGUAGCUGGGAUUACAGAGACUUGGUCUUGCUGCAUUACCCAGGCUGGUCUUGAACCUCUUGGCUCAAACAAUCCUCCUGCUUCAGCCUCCUGAGUAGCUGGGACUACAGGCUCAUGUCAUGCAUCUGGCAAAGAGCUCACAGCCUAGUGAAGAUGUGUGGGAGACAAUUACUGGAUUCAUCCAGGGCUGGCAUUUUUCCAGAGGUACAAGAACUGAAACCUUUCUAGAAAAAAAAAGGUUUAUCGGUUGGGCACAGUGGCUCAUACCUGUAAUCCCAACACUUUGAGAGUCCAAGGCGGGAGGAUCACUUGAGCCCAGGAGUUCAAGACCAGCAUGGGCAACAUAGCAAGACUUUGUCUCUACAAAAAAAAAAAAGAAAACUAGCCGGACAUGGUGGUGUGUGCCUGUGGUCCCAAGCUACUCAGGAGGCUGAGAUGGGAAGUUCGCCUGAGCCCAGGAGUUUGAGGGUACAGUGAGCCAUGAUCGUGCUACCGAACUCCAGCCUUGAUGACGAAGUGAAACCCUGUCUUGGAAAAAAAAAAUAAAACAAAAACUCCAAAACAAACAAACAAAAAACAGUUUAUAAGAGAAAAGGCUCUCUCUUAUUAUAUCUCCUUUUCCACAAAAGUUAUAAAUGUUAAGAGCCUAGAGUAUAUCCUUUUAUUCUUUCUCCAUACCCAUUUACAAAUAUGCACAUACAAGCACACACACACAGAAUAUUUGUCAUUGUUUUUACCCAAACGAAAUCAUACUAUAUAUAUUCCUAUGCAACUUGCUUUUCUCAUUAAUAAUACAUAAUAGAUACCUUUUUGAGCUAACAGUCAUAGAUCUAACUCAUUCUUUAUAUUAGCUACUUAAUAUUUCAUAACAUGGAAGCGCCAUGGUUACUUAAGUUGUUUUUAGUUUUAUUGCCUUCACAAAUAAUUUUAUUUGUAUAGGAUAGAUUACCAAAAAAAAAAGACAGAUCAAGAUAAACAGUAUAUGUACUUUUUUUUUUUUGAGAUGGAGUUUUGCUCUGUCACCCAGGCUGGUGUGCAGUGGUAGGAUCUUGGCUCAUGGCAACCUCCACCUCCCAGGUUGAAGAGAUUCUUGUGCCUUAGCCUCCCAAGUAGCUGGGACUAGGUGUGCACUACCACACCUGGCUAAUUUUUGAAUAUUUUAGUAGAAACGGGUUUUGCCAUGUUGGCCAGGCUGGUCUUGAACUCCUGGCCUCAAGUAAUCCACCUGCCUCGGCCUCCUAAUAUGCUGGGAUUACAGGCUUGAGCCACCACGCCCGGCCAGUAUAUAUACUUUUAAGUUGAAUAAAUGUGGCAUGGUUAUGAUUCCACAAAAGGCUCUGAUGACUCACAUUUCCCCAGUGACAUGAAAAUAUAUGUUUCUUCCAGCAUCUCGCCAGCUCUGGGAGUUUCCUCUCAUUUAAAAUUUUUGCCUUUGUCAGGGUGAAAUAGUAUCUCCAUUUUUAAUUAAUAUACAUUUAUUGACCUGUUCCUGCCUUUUUCCAUUUUCCUGUUGGGUGUUAGUAUAUUGCUCAUCAGUUUGAGAGAACUCAUUUUACAGUUUUAUUUGUUAUAUGCAUUGCAAAUACAUUGUCUCUGUUUAACUCCAACCUAUUACCAGAGCAUCUGUGAACAUUUCCCCUAACACACUGAGCAUGCUGCACUGUCCCUUGCUGCCAAUUGCUGUCUCUGCUAAAGGCUGUCUUCCUUAAGCUAAGGAUCAUUUUCUCAACUUUGUAGCUCUAAUCCCAAGCAGUUAUUUGUGCAUAGUAGGUGCUUAAAGGGUUUUUGAAUUAAUUGUUGAAUUUCUAUCUCAAUAAAAAUGGUCCCUCU